rnacentral:rRNA from 1 species
UAGGGAAUCUUCCGCAAUGGACGCAAGUCUGACGGAGCAACGCCGCGGGAGUGAAGAAGGAUUUCGGUUCGUAAAACUCUGUUGUUAGAGAAGAACAGCGCAUAGAGUAACUGUUAUGCGUGUGACGGUAUCUAACCAGAAAGCCACGGCUAACUACGUGCCAGCAGCCGCGGUAAUACGUAGGUGGCAAGCGUUGUCCGGAUGUAUUGGGCGUAAAGCGAGCGCAGGCGGUCAAUUAAGUCUGAUGUGAAAGCCCCCGGCUCAACCGGGGAGGGUCACUGGAAACUGGUUGGCUUGAGUGCAGAAGAGGAGAGUGGAAUUCCAUGUGUAGCGGUGAAAUGCGUAGAUAUAUGGAGGAACACCAGUGGCGAAGGCGACUCUCUGGUCUGUAACUGACGCUGAGGCUCGAAAGCGUGGGUAGCAAACAGG